CACACCGCCCGUCACACCAUGAGAGUUGGCUUUACCUGAAGACGGUGCGCCAACCGCAAGGAGGCAGCCGGCCACGGUAGGGUCAGCGACUGGGGUG
rnacentral:rRNA from 1 species